rnacentral:lncRNA from 1 species
CUUCGCUUACAAGAUAGUCGGAAGAUGUUCUCUUUUAUUCUCAUUUUAAUUGUUGAAAUUGGUAGUCCAUAAUAAUGGAGAAUUUUGUACUUUACGAAGAACUUGGCAAGAGAGACCAUGCCAUUAUUUACAAAGGAAGAAGAAAGGCAGCAUUAGUUUUGUUGCUAUUCACUGCAUUGACAAAUGCAAAAGACCGGAGGUGACAAACACUAUUCUGAUGGACUCAUCAGAAGUGCUUAAAUAUGCAGACUUUGGGCUGGCCAAAGUGGAGGGUGAAAACUUGGAGGAGCUGUUCUACAAGUUUGCUGAUGCUGGAGAGCAAUGGAACACACAGUCAGUGGAAGAGAUUGUGAAACAGAACUCCAUCUCAGGAUCCCCAACAUAUAUGUCACCUGAGCUGUUUCAAGGUGGAGAGCCAAAUAUUAUGACAGAUUUGUGGGCUCUUGGCUGUGUUUUUUAUGAGAUGUUUGCUGGGCAUCCUCCAUUUUUAGGAGAAUCAAAAGAAAUUCUAAAAAAAAGUACUGAAUAAAGAAUUUCCAACACCAAAAGUGAAAGGCUCAAGACUGUCAGCUAAGCCAUCACCAGAAUUUCUCAGUCUGCUUGAAAAUCUUCUUCAGAAAGAUCCAUCUAGGAGGCUGGGGUGGCAAGGGUUGGUUAACCUUAGCUUCUGGCAAGGCAAGCUGUCAUCCUUAGCAAAAGACUUCAACAUGUCACAAGACACCAGUGGAAUUGCUACUCCUGCUAGUCAAAGCACUGUGUUGGAACACAAUGCUAGCUCAGUGCUUGGUCGCAUCAAAAGUUUAGAUUUUCGACGAUCCAUUGAAAAGUCUGUAUCGAGGCUUGAUGUGGUAGACUCUCCUCAUCAUCUAACUUUCACUGGAGAUGUCCUUUGUCCUAAGACUGCCCCUGGACAUGAUAAAGGAGGUAGCACUCUAUUCACAUUAAGGUAACAUGUUUAGGCUUAAAUAUUUGGUCAAUGCUUUUUAUGUAGUUAAAGUAUCCCUGUGCUGUUUGAUAAAGUAUUAUUUCAUCUUGGUGUCAACAUUAUUUUAAUCAUUCAUGUUCAGUCAAGUAAAAAUGUAAAGAUUGGCAAUCAUUAUGAUUGUUAUUUCCUGUUGUUUAUAGUAAAGAUCACAAAAUUAACACAAAAUUAACCCGUUUAGAGAAGGUCUUCUUGAUCCCUCACUCUUAUGCAUGAUAGCACACACCCACACAGAGCCAUCCUAACUUACUUUUAAAAAAACUAGUGGGGUGCAGAAUGGCUGGGUAAAGCUUGGUGUUAGAGACCGUUUCCCCAAAUCUGGGUACAUACACCCCUUCAAAUAUCACCAUUUACAGAAAAAGGUCAAAAUCAUUAUGUUACAUUUCUACACAUUACACCUAAUUAACAAAUAAUCUUAGCUCUCCCAUUGGCUUCGGCACUCACAAUGUAAACAUGUCCAGGUACAAUCAUGGCAUCUGCAUGUGUUGUUUACCUUUUACUGUGUGUGUUGAUGCAAGGACAUGUAUAGGUGGAUUGCCGUCUGUCUGCCAAGACCAACACUUAUAGCCUCUUACGAAGUUCUCCACUGUUAGUCUCGGCGAGCCGUAACAAAGAAUGUGAAGAAACCAGAAGCUUUCUUGAAUCAUGCCUUGUUUUAGCAGUUAACUGGAAAAAAUCGUCUACCAGCAGUCCAGGGAUAUUAGUUCGUGGUUGAUGUAUGUAGGCAUGUAUCUCGAAAACAGUUUGGGGAGAAUUAUUUUAGGAAACAGUAUUUUGCACUAAACUUUACCCAAUCAUUUGGAAAAAAUUUCACUCUGCUAGUUCUUUAAGCACUGGUUGUUUGUACUCCAAAACGAGACCUAAAGAUCAUACUGGGCGACAUGAAUGCCAAAGUUGGAAAUGACAACACAGGCAAAGAACACGUAAUGGGUAAGCACAGUGUGGGCAACUGCAACGAAAAUGGGGAGCUGCUCACAGACUUCUGCCUGUUCAACGACCUUGUAAUUGGAGGUACAGUUUUUCCACACAAAACCAUCCUAUGACAUCAUAAGGAUAUGGUUGUUGAAUACUUUCACAAGGCACAAAAACAAGAGGAAAUAAAAAAAAAUAAAGUGAAACAUGCUGUGGUCCUCAACUCACCAUUCUGACUCCCAGUUAGUGCUACUAGUUCUGGUAGGAUGGUCUCAAUGAUUUUCCCUUGAUGUUCCAUUAGCAGGGUGGGAUGCUGUGCAAUGCCUUCAAGGAUGGAUACAGCAGAGCCCACAAACUCACUGACACUCAAUGACACUGGUUCGGACAAUCAAUCAAGAGAUCCAGUUUUCCAUUAAGUUCAUUGAAAUCUAUCUAUAUAAAUCUAUAAAAUAUCUUUUCCUCUACUGCUAAACAUAGUGGUUCCUUUCAUCCUAACUAUGAUUAUAAGAACUGACAUGAAUCAACAGGUUAAGCAUUCUUUUCUGCGGUUAUUGUAAAACCGCCAAGACUUAUUCCUACUUUCUCACAUCGCUCAUUAAACGCAAAAAACAAAACAAAACAACCAACAACCAAAAAACAGUUUACAGGAGGCUGAUCUGUCAUAUUUUCAUUUCACUAAAAAAGUUAACAGAAGCCUGACUGCCGCACAAACUAAAAGCUAGGUAUCAAAAGUCUUAUAGCAUAUGUGUAAGAAAAAAAAAAAAAGAACGAA